rnacentral:rRNA from 1 species
AUUGAACGCUGGCGGAAUGCUUUACACAUGCAAGUCGAACGGCAGCACGGGAGCUUGCUCCUGGUGGCGAGUGGCGAACGGGUGAGUAAUGCAUCGGAACGUGCCCUGAAGUGGGGGAUAACGUAGCGAAAGUUACGCUAAUACCGCAUAUUCUGUGAGCAGGAAAGCAGGGGAUCUUCGGACCUUGCGCUUUUGGAGCGGCCGAUGUCGGAUUAGCUAGUUGGUGGGGUAAAGGCCCACCAAGGCGACGAUCCGUAGCGGGUCUGAGAGGAUGAUCCGCCACACUGGAACUGAGACACGGUCCAGACUCCUACGGGAGGCAGCAGUGGGGAAUUUUGGACAAUGGGCGCAAGCCUGAUCCAGCCAUGCCGCGUGAGUGAAGAAGGCC